ensembl:lncRNA
GUUUGGUAAAGGUGUGUGAAACAGGUGUGUCAGGUAGAGUUGUGUGAUACAGGUGUGUGGUAGAGGAGUGUGAUACAGGUGUGAGGUAGAGAUGUGUGAUACAGGUGUGUGAUAGAGUUGUGUGAUACAGGUGUGUGGUAGAGAAGUGUGAUACAGGUGUGUGGUAGGGGUGUGUGAUACAGGUGUGUGGUAGAGGUGUGUGAUAGAGGAGUGUGAUACAGGUGUGUGGUAGAGGUGGUUGAUACAGGUGUGUGUGAUAGAGGUGUGUGAUACAGGUGUGUGGUAGGGGUGUGUGAUACAGGUGUGUGGUAGAGGUGUGUGAUAGAGGAGUGUGAUACAGGUGUGUGGUAGAGGUGGUUGAUACAGGUGUGUGAUACAGGUGUGUGUGUGUGAUACAGGAGCGUGGUACAGGUGUGUGAUAGAGGUGUGUGAUACAGGUGUGUGGUAGAGGUGUUUGGUAGAGGUGUGUGGUAGAGGUGUUUGAUACAGGUGUGAGGUAGAGGUG